UAUUCUAUUCUAUUUGCCUAUGAAUUUCAUA
rnacentral:piRNA from 1 species